rnacentral:rRNA from 1 species
UGGGGAAUAUUGCACAAUGGGGGAAACCCUGAUGCAGCAACGCCGCGUGAAGGAAGACGGUUUUCGGAUUGUAAACUUCUGUUCUUAGUGAAGAAGAAUGACGGUAGCUAAGGAGCAAGCCACGGCUAACUACGUGCCAGCAGCCGCGGUAAUACGUAGGUGGCAAGCGUUGUCCGGAAUUACUGGGUGUAAAGGGAGCGCAGGCGGGAAGCCAAGUCAGCUGUGAAAACUACGGGCUUAACUUGUAGACUGCAGUUGAAACUGGUUUUCUUGAGUGAAGUAGAGGUUGGCGGAAUUCCGAGU